GGGGAUGUAGCUCAAUGGUGGAGCACCUGCCUGGCAUGUGUGAGGCCCUGGGUUCCACCCCCAGCACUUCAA
rnacentral:tRNA from 1 species